rnacentral:rRNA from 1 species
UCCGUUAACGAACGAGACCUCGACCUGCUAAAUAGUUUAGCAAAUUCUUCGGGAUUUGUGCAUUAUAAACUUCUUAGAGGGACUAUCGGUGAUUUAGCCGACGGAAGUUCGAGGCAAUAACAGGUCUGUGAUGCCCUUAGAUGUCCUGGGCCGCACGCGCGCUACACUGAUACGUUCAUCGAGCAUACAACCUUGGUUGAAAGGCCUGGGUAAUCUUUGUAAACCGUAUCGUGCUGGGGAUAGAUUAUUGUAAUUUUUAAUCUUCAACGAGGAAUUCCUAGUAAACGCUGGUCAUCAACCAGCAUUGAUUACGUCCCUGCCCUUUGUACACACCGCCCGUCGCUAUUACCGAUUGAAUGGAUUA